GUAGUUAUUACUUGAAGGAACAGUUAAUUUUAACUGUUAAAAUUAGUAAAGUGUCUUGGAAGAUGCCAGAUUAAGAAGAUCCUGGGCCGGGUGGCGAGACCAUUUGAGACAAGGAAACAGCUUAACAAGGUUUCUUAUUUAUGGAUGAAUGCAACCCUCAACUGAUUCAUCUGCAAAGAAAAUGUUGACCUUUCAGUGUCUGAGAGGAGGCAACCCAGCUGGUGGAAAACAGGAUAAUAAUUGGAUGCACAGAUUUUAUUUGACAGAGAGAGAGACAGCCAGCGAGAGAGG